UACGUAGGGGGCAAGCGUUGUUCGGAAUUACUGGGCGUAAAGGGCGCGUAGGCGGCCUUCUAAGUCAGACGUGAAAUCCCCCGGCUUAACCUGGGAACUGCGUCUGAUACUGGGAGGCUUGAGUAUGGGAGAGGGAUGUAGAAUUCCAGGUGUAGCGGUGAAAUGCGUAGAUAUCUGGAGGAAUACCGGUGGCGAAGGCGGCAUCCUGGACCAUUACUGACGCUGAGGCGCGAAGCUAGG
rnacentral:rRNA from 1 species